CCUACGGGUGGCUGCAGUCGAGAAUCUUCGGCAAUGGGCGCAAGCCUGACCGAGCGACGCCGCGUGGAGGACGAAGGCCUUCGGGUUGUAAACUCCUGUCGAGGGGGAGGAAGGCGUAAGCUUGACCGAUCCCUGGAGGAAGCACGGGCUAAGUUCGUGCCAGCAGCCGCGGUAAGACGAACCGUGCGAACGUUAUUCGGAAUCACUGGGCUUAAAGCGCGUGUAGGUGGAUGGGUGCAUCGAUAGCUGAAAGCCCCCGGCUCAACCGGGGAAGUGGCGUCGAGAUGGCCUGUCUUGAGGUGGGUAGGGGGAUCUGGAACUUCCGGUGGAGCGGUGAAAUGCGUUGAGAUCGGAAGGAACGCCCGUGGCGAAAGCGAGAUCCUGGACCCUUUCUGACACUGAGACGCGAAAGCUAGGGGAGCAAACGGGAUUAGAUACCCUUGUAGUC
rnacentral:rRNA from 1 species